GCCUACCAUGCAAGUCGAGCGGUAGAGAGGUGCUUGCACCUCUUGAGAGCGGCGGACGGGUGAGUAAAGCCUAGGAAUCUGCCUGGUAGUGGGGGAUAACGCUCGGAAACGGACGCUAAUACCGCGUACGUCCUACGGGAGAAAGCAGGGGACCUUCGGGCCUUGCGCUAUCAGAUGAGCCUAGGUCGGAUUAGCUAGUUGGUGAGGUAAUGGCUCACCAAGGCGACGAUCCGUAACUGGUCUGAGAGGAUGAUCAGUCACACUGGAACUGAGACACGGUCCAGACUCCUACGGGAGGCAGCAGUGGGGAAUAUUGGACAAUGGGCGAAAGCCUGAUCCAGCCAUGCCGCGUGUGUGAAGAAGGUCUUCGGAUUGUAAAGCACUUUAAGUUGGGAGGAAGGGCAUUAACCUAAUACGUUAGUGUUUUGACGUUACCGACAGAAUAAGCACCGGCUAACUCUGUGCCAGCAGCCGCGGUAAUACAGAGGGUGCAAGCGUUAAUCGGAAUUACUGGGCGUAAAGCGCGCGUAGGUGGUUCGUUAAGUUGGAUGUGAAAUCCCCGGGCUCAACCUGGGAACUGCAUUCAAAACUGUCGAGCUAGAGUAUGGUAGAGGGUGGUGGAAUUUCCUGUGUAGCGGUGAAAUGCGUAGAUAUAGGAAGGAACACCAGU
rnacentral:rRNA from 1 species